UGUCUAACGCGCGCCAAACCGGAAAUAGAAAAGGAUUCGGGUGCUCGUGGCGCGGCUGCUAAGCAAUGUUUAUAGAAUGAUUAGCAGUCAAAGCAAGCACAAUAUUCUUUCAUGACAGCGUGUUUAGAAAGCAAAACGACAGGCUACAAUUUUAAUGGCGCCAGUACGACAGCGAAAUGCGAAAGGCCUGAAUUCUACAGAGAUAGGGAAGAAAAUCAAAAGGGGCAAUGCACUGCGGCAGGGCACUGCUUGGUGGACUUCCAGAAGCCUAACCGCUUUGUUGCUGGUUAGUCUUUGUUUGUGUGGGGCAGCAGCAUGGCUAUAUGUCACGUCCUUGGAUAGUGGCAUAACGGAAACAUUGGUCAGCCAGCGUGAGCAUGUGUCCCCCAAGCCCAGGGUCUUUAUCGUCCAGUGCUCAGAAGACUAUGAGAACUACAAACGUUACCCAGGAUGCACCCCUCAGAAGUGCGGGCGUGCCGUCGCAGACGGCCUAGUGACGAGGGAGGAAUCUCAGGUCCUAAGGAGCCUGGCUGAGAGGGGACUUCAACUGGCUGGAUCAGAGGGAGGGGCCUCCAUCUUGGAUCUGCACUCAGGAGCAUUGUCAAUGGGGCCACAAUUUGUCAACAUUUACAGAUAUUUUGGCGAACAGAUCCAGGAUGUGUUCACAGAAGAGGAUUUUCAACUUUACAGAGACGUACGCAAGCGAAUCCAAUCCGUAAUUGCUGAGGCGUUUGGUUUGGACCAAACACUGAUGUACCUCACCAAGCCCACCUUCUUCUCCAGGAUCAAUUCUACAAUAGCUAAGACCCAACAUGACGAGUACUGGCACCCGCACAUUGAUAAGGUGACUUAUGGCUCAUUUGAUUACACAUCCCUUCUGUACCUUUCUGACUAUGGCUCUGACUUCACUGGAGGAAGAUUUGUCUUUAUGGACCAAAAUGGCAAUAAGACAGUGGAACCAAAGGCAGUACAAGACCCGAAACGGCAAUCCAAGUGCAGAGUGGUAAAAAAAUGGAGCACAUUGGGGAAAAAAAAUGUCCCUGGACAAAGCUCAAAGCAUCCAUCUCGGCGAAGCUCAAUGCAAAAAGUGAUGCCUGUGCACUUGCACAGUGGGAGAAAAUAUCAAUCAGGAUGAGCGACAGCACCGCACUGACAAGCUUCACGGCUCAUCUCGCCGCUUCUGCAAGCAGUCGACUGAAAUGAGCAUCGCAACUGCCUUUGGGCUCGUAUUGCAACCCUCAAGUGACCGACACCAGUGAAGAUGGGGAGACACUCGUCGACUCCAAGGGUGUUUUCAAGUUUGUGACCCAACCUGAGGAUGUGGGAGUGUCUUUUCUGCAGGUUGCCAAAGACGCGCUUUCGUGUGACUGGAAUUGACCUUUCUCGGCUACCGUACACUUCCGCUUCAGUGGGCAGCUAGCUCUUCAGGUUGCUACCUUUUGGGCUUUCGAGUGAGUCAUGUCAACUUUUUCCAAGCUGUUAAACUUGCUGUAUGUAUGUAAAUGCGUACAUGUAAACAAUGACAUGAAAGGAGAAUAUUUGUUAGUCGUUAGGUCAGUGGAACUCGCUAGCUCUCGUGAAACAAGAGGUGGAGCGUUAGCUUGCACGCCCACAAGCAGCACUCACUCGGCUGUCAAUCAAUGGAUUAUCAAGGAAAGCGUUCGACUUGAACGUUGUUUUUCUGUUUUUCCAUGUCCAACCUUGAAGACUGGAGGCUCCACGUCGGCUGCUGGUCGUCCAUCUAUCUGCAUAUCUCGAAAGACUGGAGGCUCCACGUCGGCUGCUGGUCGUCUGUCUGCUUAUCUCGAAAGACUGGAGGCUCCACGUCGGCUGCUGGUCGGCCAUCUAUCUGCAUAUCUCGAAAGAGUAAAUCACAACAAGUUGGAUUGCAAUCAGCUCAUUGCUGAGUGGUGAAGUGGUCGGCCAGAGGGACGAGUGGUGAAGUGGUCAGCCAGUGGGAUGAGUAUUACGCCAUGCCUGGACCCAAGACAAAAAGAGAUAGGUAAGUAAAAUGCUAAGUCAACGUUUUGUGCAGAAAAGGUUUUGACAUGAAACAUACCAGUGUAGAAGGAGAGUUUGUGACGAGUUUUGGAAGCUGAUUUUGUUCCUUGCUGCAUGACCCAGGAGGUGGAGUUUGUUCCUUGCUUCCUGUCAGAAAGAAAGAAAGAAAGAAAUUAUUGGAAUGAAGGUUAGUAUGCAAUGAGGAGCAUUUAAAUUGCUUUACUUCUCAGGUUGCUGAGGCAGUAACAAGUAAUUGAAGUGCUGCUGGUCUGUAGCUUUGUUCUGGUCCUCAGCUUCUGCUGCGAGUAGGUACUUGAUGGUGCUUCACACUGGACACAAAAAUGGAUUCAAAUUUUUAAACAUGUUGGCUAGAAUAUUUACUUUUCUUACCAGCAGCUGGCUCUUCAGGCAGCACGGAACCAGGUGAACGAGCUCAGAGUAAUUGUGGCUGAAGACAAACUGUGGCAGGCUUUGCACUUUGUCGACCAGAAUUUGUCACCUCUGCCUGGAAAGAAAAAGGAAUAUUGACACAUCAGCUUCAUUUAAGUUCACUGGUUUUAUUUUUUAACUGUAGACUGGAAGCGGAGUUGUUAGAAUGUUCAUACUCUCCAGGGUGGACACCUGCACACAAGACAAACAAGGGACUCAUUGAUCUGCCAUUUUGGCAUGUUUGAGGAAUUUCUGCAUGGUUUUGAGGGCUUUUACCUUUGACAAGCAGGUGGCAGAAUUUCCAACUGCAUCCUUACUGGACCGUGCUUUACAGGAAGAGGGAAGCAUGAAAAAAAGCAGGUAAGUGAUAAACAAUGCCAAGUUUGUAAUUAGUUGUCACCUGUCAGCAGGUUGAUGAUUCCACAGGUUUAAAACCUUGUAGAUCCACACCAGCAGAUUGAUGCUGCAGUAAGUAGAUCCUUUGGCAACACCUGAUUGACAAAAGAAAGAACAGGCUGAAAUGUUUGACAUGUGCCAAACAUUUGGACGCGUGCACGUUUCACCAGUGAGGAAUGGAGGCCUGCGCCGGACUUCUCUCCAACCACAGCUCUCUGGUCUGAAAGACACGGUAACGUUACAACCAUUCUGCUUUGACAGUUUCAGCCUAACAAGCAAAUUGAGCAAGAAUAGACCUGCAAGUGUCUCAUGAAGCCAUGCGGGAAGUGCAAGGUGGCCAUUUUGGAUCCUGCAGACAAAAGAAAAAGAACAAAUGUUUGCUUUAGUCAAUUUGACAAGAUGCUUUGCUAAUAAAAUAUUUUUGCCA